rnacentral:lncRNA from 10 species
UACCCUUGGGUGACUGUGGAGCAGCAUCUUCCACUGAUCCAUGCUGGAUACAUACCAUGGGUUCAAUCAUGUAUGGUGACUCAUUGAUUUUUAAACUUAUUUUUUAACAUUUUACUUGGUAAAAAUUUCAAACGUACAAAAAAGUUGCAAGAAUAAAGACAGUACAUAGGACACCCAAAUACUCCAUAUCUGGAUUCACCAAUUUAAACUAAUCCAUUUGAUACUUAUACUUCAUGCACUAAGAACCAGCUAUUUUGGUUGAUUUUGGUUUCUCUUCAAAAUGAUUAUGUGCAUACCAAACACAUGGGAAAAAACAGAUUACUCAGAGACAUUAAGGGAAAAUAUGACUAUAUCUGACUCUUGGGAUCUCAAAACUCUAGAAUUUGAAAUGUGAAAAUACAUAUGUUUGAAAGAACUGAAUAUGUGUCGAGUUCACAAAGCUCAAUGCUUUGGAUCUGAAGAUGUCCCAUAAGUAAUGUAUUAACAUCAAUGCUGUUCUAAAUAUUUUAUUCCAAAAGUCACAACCAGAAACAGAAGAUACAAGAUGGUAUAGGUUACCUUUACUCAGAGUAUGAAGCAUUACUGCACAUAAGGAAGUGGCAAAGCCCACUUACCAGUACUUUGCAAGCUCAUCCUGUCUUUCAGGAGCACAUCUCCAAGAAUUUGUCGAUAAAAUAUCAACAAGUGAAUAGAACACAUAUUUCCAAUUAAUGUUUCUGGCAGUAGACUAUUAAAGAAGAAAAAAAUGUAUUCAUUAGACAAUCCCCUACAAUCCAACUUAUAAUGUUUUGAUGUAUAUUACUUUAAUAAACAGUCCCAAAUUUUGCUUCAUUACUGGAACACAUUUUUAACUAUUUAAAGAAAAAUUUCUACUACAAGUAGGCCACAUUAAAUUUCAGAUAACUUUUUAUAUUUGUUUACACUUUCGAGUCUCAACCCUGUGUUGCCAUUUUUGUGCUUCCAUGUUAGCAUAUAUACCUAUGUUAAAUGUCAAAUAAAAACGGGAAGCCACUAAUUAUGUUUUGGAAAGAAGGGGACUAGUCAGCUACAAGCUUUAACAAAGGCAUGUGGCUGCCAUGCCUGAUUUGGUGAAUGCAGAAGAAAUAAUUCAGGCUGUUCACAGUACUGGGUGGAACAUGGGAGGGUGUGACAGACCUGGAAUAAGUCCUGACUUUGUCACUUCUUAGCUAUGUGACUUUAAAUUAAUUAAUUCAUCUCCUUGUGCUUUGGUUUCCUCAUUUAUUGGAUACCAAUAGUAAUACUUGCAUUUCAGAAGGUUACUAAAAGGAUUAAAAUGAAGUAAGUGUGGGCUGGGCAUGGUGGCUCACACCUGUAAUCCUAACACUUUGGGAGGCCGAGACAGGUGAAUCACUUGAGGUCAGGAGUUUGAGACCAGCCUGGCCAACAUGGUGAAACCAUAUCUCUGCUGAAAAUACAAAAAUUAGCCAGGUUUGGUGGCGGGCACCUGUAAUCCCAGCUACUCAGAGGCCAAGGCAGAAGAAUCCCUUGAGCCUGGGCGGUGGAUGUUGCCAUGAGCCAAGAUUGUGCCACUGCACUCCAACCUGGGUGACACAGCAAGACUCUGUCUCAAAACAAAACAACAACAACAAAUGAAAUAAGUAUGGAGUGCUUAAUGUAGUGUCUGGUAUACAGUAAGGGCUAAAAAAUAGAAAAUAAUUCAACAUCGAAGUUAAAUUGGUAUCAGUUUAAGAUAGACUGCUAUAACCUAAGGAUGUUGUAUGCAAUACCAAGUUAAGUUGGUAUUAGUUUAAAAUAGAUUGUUAUAACUUUAGGAUGUUAUAUGUAAUACCAUGGUAACCACAAAGAAAAUAACUAUAGAAUAUUUUCAAAUGGAAAGUAAAAGGGAAUCAAAAUUUGUCACUAUGAAAAAUCAAACACAAAGAAAAUCAGUGAGGGAGGAAAUUAAGAACAAAAAAAGCUAUAAGAUAAGCAGCAAAUGAGUAAUAAAAUGGCAAAAGUAAGUCCUUCUCUAUUAGUAAUCACUUUAAAUGUAAAUAAAUUAGACUCCUCAAUCAAAAGAUACAGAUUGGCAGGAUGCACUAAAAAAACACGAUUUAAUUAUAUGUUAUCUAUAAGAGACUCACGGUAGACUUAGGACACUCAUGGGUAGAAAGUGAAAGAACAGAAAAAAAAUUUCAUGCAAAUAGCAACUAAAAGAGAACAUGUUUAGCCAUAUUAAUAUCAGACAAAAUAGACUUCAAGCCCCCCAAAAGUUACAAGAGACAAAGGAUAUUGUACAAUCAUAAAACAGUCAAUUCAGAAUAUAUAACAAUUAUAAACAUAUAUGCACCAAACAUCAGUGCUCCUAAAUAUAUGAAGCAAACACUGACAGAAUUGAAGGGAGCAAUACAUAGAUCUAUAAUAAUAGAGAAGAUUUCAAUAUCCUACUUUCGAUAAGGUAUAGAACAAUGAAACAGAAGAUCAAUAACACUGUAGACUAAUUGGAUCUAGCUGACAUUUACAAAACACUCUACCCGGCAACAGCAGAAUACACAUUUUUCUCAAGUGCACAUGACAUAUUCUCCAGGAAAGACCAUAUGUUGAGUCACAAAGUAAGUCUUAAUAAAUUUAAAAAUAUUGAAAUCAUACAAAAUAUCUUUUUUCAAUCAUAAUGAAAUGAAACUAGAAAUCAAAAGCAGAAGGAAAACUGGAAAACACAUAAAUAUGUGGAAAUUAAACAACAUACUUAAACAACAAUGGCUCAAAGAAGAAAUCUCAAGAGAAACUAGAAAAUAUCUUGAGAAAUGAAAUGAAAACACAACAUACCAAAAUUUACAAGAUACAGUGAAAACAGUCCUAAGAGGGAAAUUUAUAGCUAUAAAUACUUAACAUUAAAAAAGAAGGAAGAGCUCAAGUCAACAACCUAACUUUAUGCCCUAAGGAACUAGAAGAACAAAACUAGCAGAAGGAAGAAAUAAUAAAGAUUAGGUCAGAUAUAGACAAAAUAAAGAAUAGAAAAACAAUAGAGAAAAUCAAUGAAAGCAAGACUCUGUUCUUUGAAAAGAUGAACAAAAUUGACAAACCUUUAGUGAGAAUGACUAAGGAACACUCAACUAAAAUCAGAAAUGAAAGAGGGGAUAUUACUAUUGAUUUUACAGAAAUAAAAAAUGUGUAAGAGAGUACUAUAAAUAGUUGUAUGCCAACAAGUUGGAUGACCUAAAUGAAACAGGCACAUUUCUAGAAAUACACAACCUACUAAGGCUGAAUCACAAAGAAAUAGAAAAUCUCAAUAACAAGUAAGGAGAUUGAAUCAGUAAUUUAAAAAAUCUCCUGAUAAAGAAAAGCCCAGCAUCAGAUGGCUUCACUGGAGAAUUCUACCAAACCUUUAAAGAAGAAUUAACACCAAUUUUCCUCAAACUUUUCCAAAAAAUGAAGAGGAAAAAACACUAUCAAACUCAUUAUGAGGUCAGAAUUACCCUAGUAAAAAAGCCAACAAUACUACAAGAAAAAAAAAAAAAAACUACAGGCCAAUAUUCCUGAAUAUUGAUGCAAAAUCCUCAACAAAAUACUAGCAAAGUGAAUUCAACAGCACAUUAAAAAGCUUGUACACCAUGACCAAGUCAAAUUUAUUAAUGAAAUUCAAGGAUGGCUCAACAUCCAAAAAUCAAUCAACAUAAUGUGCUACAUUAACAGAAUUAAGGGGAAAAACCCACAUUAUUUUCUCAAUUGAUGCUGAGAAAGCCUAAAAUUUGACACCCUUUCAUGAUAAAAACACUCAACAAACUAGGAAUAGAAAGAAACUACUGCAACAUAAUAAAGGCCAUAUAUGAAAAGCCCACAGCUAACAUCAUACUCAGUGGUGAAACACUGAAAGCUUUUCCUCUAAGAUAAGGAACAAGACAAGGAUCCUGCUCCUGCCACUUUUACUCAACACAAUAAUGGAAAUAUUUUUCUAAAAAAAGAAAAGUGUCUUUGUUUGCAGACAAAAUGAUGUAGAAAUAUGUAGAAUAUAUGUAGAAAACCCUAAAUACUCCAUGAAAAAUACCUUCAGAAUAAAUGACUAGCAAAGUUGCAGAAUACAAAAUCAACACGUAAAAAUCGUACUUUAUACACUAACAAUGCACAAUUUGAGAAGGAAACCAACAAAACAAUUUACAAUAGCAUCAAAAAAUAGUCAGAAAUUUAAAAAUAUAAAAAAUUUCAAUAUUUAGAUUUCAAAAUAAUAAUCUGGAAACAUGAAAAGUGAGUUCUUCCAUCUUGGCUAACACGGUGAAACCCCGUUUCUACUAAAAAUACAAAAAAUUAGCUGGGCGUGUUG